UACGGAGGGUGCGAGCGUUUGUCCGGAAUCACUGGGCGUAAAGGGCGCGUAGGUGGCUUCUCAAGCGCGCGGUGAAAGCCCGGGGCUCAACCCCGGGCCUGCAGUCGAUACGGGGCAGACUAGAGUUCGGCAGGGGAGACUGGAAUUCCUGGUGUAGCGGUGAAAAUGCGCAGAUAUCAGGAGGAACACCGGUGGCGAAGGCGGGGUCUCUGGGCCGAUACUGACGCUGAGGAGCGAAAAGCGUGGGGGAGCGAACAGG
rnacentral:rRNA from 1 species